ACAACGGAGUGCAGCCAAGGAUGACUUGCCGCCAAUGGCUAGCUGGAGACGAGUUGCUUAUACGACCCUUUUCGUAUGAGCAAGUCGUAGACCUAAGAAUAGGCGGUAAGUUGUCCUUGGCUACAUCAGGCUCUCC
rnacentral:pre_miRNA from 2 species